rnacentral:rRNA from 1 species
CCCGCACAAGCGGUGAGCAUGUGGUUUAAUUCGACGCAACGCGAAGAACCUUACCAGGGCUUGACAUCCCCUGACCGCGUAUGAAAGUACGUUUUCACCCUCGGGUGACAGGGUGACAGGUGGUGCAUGGUUGUCGUCAGCUCGUGUCGUGAGAUGUUGGGUUAAGUCCCGCAACGAGCGCAACCCCUACGUUUAGUUGCUAACGCGUGAAGGCGAGCACUCUAGACGAACUGCCGUUGACAAAACGGAGGAAGGUGGGGAUGACGUCAAAUCAUCAUGCCCCUUAUGUUCUGGGCUACACACGUGCUACAAUGGCCGGUACAGACGGACGCAAAGCCGCGAGGUGGAGCAAAUCCUAAAAAGCCGGUCUCAGUUCGGAUUGCAGGCUGCAAUUCGCCUGCAUGAAGUCGGAAUCGCUAGUAAUCGCAGGUCAGCAUACUGCGGUGAAUACGUUCCCGGGCCUU